UACGAAGGGGGCUAGCGUUGCUCGGAAUCACUGGGCGUAAAGGGUGCGUAGGCGGCGGGGUAAGUCGGAUGUGAAAUCCCGGGGCUCAACCCCGGAACUGCAUUCGAUACUGCCUUGCUAGAGUACUGGAGAGGAGACUGGAAUUUACGGUGUAGCAGUGAAAUGCGUAGAUAUCGUAAGGAAGACCAGUGGCGAAGGCGAGUCUCUGGACAGUUACUGACGCUGAGGCACGAAGGCCAGGGGAGCAAACGGG
rnacentral:rRNA from 1 species